rnacentral:rRNA from 1 species
CCAAUAGCGUAUAUUAAAGUUGUUGCAGUUAAAAAACUCGUAGUUGAACUUCAGGCCUGGCUGGGCGGUCCGCCUUCCGGGUGAGUACUGCCUGUGGUCGGGUCCUACCUUCUGGCGAAGCGUCAUGGUCUUAACCGGCCGUGGCGGGGAACCAGGACUUUUACUGUGAAAAAAUUAGAGUGUUCAAAGCAGGCACGCGCUUGAAUACAUUAGCAUGGAAUAAUGGAAUAGGACAGUGGUUCUAUUUGUUGGUUUCUAGGACCGUUGUAAUGAUUAAUAGGGAUAGUUGGGGGCAUUAGUAUUCAAUUGUCAGAGGUGAAAUUCUUGGAUUUAUUGAAGACUAACUACUGCGAAAGCAUUUGCCAAGGAUGUUUUCAUUAAUCAAGAACGAAAGUUAGGGGAUCGAAGACGAUCAGAUACCGUCGUAGUCUUAACCAUAAACUAUGCCGACUAGGAAUCGGGCGAUGUUGACAAAAUGACGCGCUCGGCACCUCAUG